GAUGAACGCUAGCUACAGGCUUAACACAUGCAAGUCGAGGGGAAACGGCGUUGAGUGCUUGCACUCUUCGGACGUCGACCGGCGCACGGGUGAGUAACGCGUAUCCAACCUUCCCAUAACUAAGGGAUAACCUACCGAAAGGCAGACUAAUACCUUAUGUAAUUCUUAGAUGACAUCAGAAGAGAAUGAAAGAUUUAUCGGUUAUGGAUGGGGAUGCGUCUGAUUAGCUUGUUGGCGGGGUAACAGCCCACCAAGGCAACGAUCAGUAGGGGUUCUGAGAGGAAGGUCCCCCACAUUGGAACUGAGACACGGUCCAAACUCCUACGGGAGGCAGCAGUGAGGAAUAUUGGUCAAUGGGCGAGAGCCUGAACCAGCCAAGUAGCGUGCAGGAUGACGGCCCUAUGGGUUGUAAACUGCUUUUGUAUGGGGAUAAAGUCAAUCACGUGUGAUUGUUCGCAGGUACCAUACGAAUAAGGACCGGCUAAUUCCGUGCCAGCAGCCGCGGUAAUACGGAAGGUUCGGGCGUUAUCCGGAUUUAUUGGGUUUAAAGGGAGCGUAGGCCGGAGAUUAAGUGUGUUGUGAAAUGUAGACGCUCAACGUCUGACUUGCAGCGCAUACUGGUUUCCUUGAGUACGCACAACGUUGGCGGAAUUCGUCGUGUAGCGGUGAAAUGCUUAGAUAUGACGAAGAACUCCGAUUGCGAAGGCAGCUGACGGGAGCGCCACUGACGCUUAAGCUCGAAGGUGCGGGUAUCGAACAGGAUUAGAUACCCUGGUAGUCCGCACAGUAAACGAUGGAUGCCCGCUGUUGGUACCUAGUGUCAGCGGCUAAGCGAAAGCAUUAAGCAUCCCACCUGGG
rnacentral:rRNA from 1 species